UUCUAGUUAUAUAUUAAAUCGGUAGAAAAAAUAUACAUGAAGCUAGCAGACCAGGGUUUAUUUUCCAGAUUAAGAAUAUAAGAUGCUUGUUGAAAUUUCCAAUUUUGAAUUAUGCACAAAGAUGGACCUUUAACAGGUUGGGAACAACACUCCAAAUGAGGGUAACCUAACUGGAAGAUCAUCACAACCCACUGUAAAAAAUGAGCACAAAAAAGUCAUUUAUAUUCAUAUUAUUUGAUGAAACUUUUCCCCAAGAACUAUGCAUCUAUUAAGUACUGAAUGGUCAAAACAUCAUGUUUUUUUUAUCGACAUAAAUUUUGUCGUAAAUGUAACCAAAUGAUGUAGAAAUUGUGUUUUUUCUUCAAAUUUCCAUCAAAUUGUAAUGUUUAUAGUUUCCUUAUUGCCUCUCUAUUUGAAUAAAAUAAAAUAAUAAGAAGAAUCUGUUUCUUGUUUUGUUUUGUUUUGUUUUUGACAAAUGAUUGUUCACUGCUUGCAAAUGAAUCAUUAUAUUUAUAUAUCUUAUCUGUAUAUAUUUUUGUUCAUGUCUCCAUCUCCUUAUCAUUUGUAAAUGUAUAGACAAAUAAGAAAGAAAUAAGCUCCACAUGUAUAUUUGCAACAUCGUAAAUUAAUUAAAAAAAUAACAAACACUAACACUAGUACUGCAUGGAUUUUAAGCAUUAUGAAAGUCAUAUUUGUAGAAAGCUUAAAAAGACUUAAAAACAGUGUAAAAUGUCUUGCUAUUUCUUAGCUUACACAAUAAAAUCUAUUAUCGCUAUUUUGUGCAUUUUUCGUUUGAUCUUUUUUUGUGAUAAUUUUCAUAUCAUGCUACUCGCUUGAGAUGGAAUAAUUAUCACUAGAAACUAAGGAGGCCACGUGGCGUUGCUAACGAAAUUGAGAUGAACAUGAUGAAAUUGACAACGUCGUCAUAGGUAAAAUAGCGAUAAAUAGAUUAUCAUUGGUCAUCUCAACUCGAUUGCUUUUCUCACUUUCGCUGUACCAGCUCAAGCGAGAAAAUCAAUCUCGUUGAGAUGAU
rnacentral:lncRNA from 1 species